AGCGAACGCUGGCGGCAGGCUUAACACAUGCAAGUCGAGCGGGGUGAUGGUGCUUGCACUAUCACUUAGCGGCGGACGGGUGAGUAAUGCUUAGGAAUCUGCCUAUUAGUGGGGGACAACAUCUCGAAAGGGAUGCUAAUACCGCAUACGUCCUACGGGAGAAAGCAGGGGAUCACUUGUGACCUUGCGCUAAUAGAUGAGCCUAAGUCGGAUUAGCUAGUUGGUGGGGUAAAGGCCUACCAAGGCGACGAUCUGUAGCGGGUCUGAGAGGAUGAUCCGCCACACUGGGACUGAGACACGGCCCAGACUCCUACGGGAGGCAGCAGUGGGGAAUAUUGGACAAUGGGGGGAACCCUGAUCCAGCCAUGCCGCGUGUGUGAAGAAGGCCUUAUGGUUGUAAAGCACUUUAAGCGAGGAGGAGGCUCUUUUGGUUAAUACCCAAGAUGAGUGGACGUUACUCGCAGAAUAAGCACCGGCUAACUCUGUGCCAGCCGCCGCGGUAA
rnacentral:rRNA from 1 species